AUCCCUGAACACAGAUCUAGAAGUAAGCCCUUAAUGAGGUUUAUCAGAGGUACAAUUAUUGCUAAUCAAAAACUUUUUCCAAUACCCCUCCGUGAAAACUUGAAAUAUAAUGUGCAUUGGCAAUUUUUGACAGUCUCUAAGGAGA